rnacentral:rRNA from 1 species
GACGAACGCUGGCGGCGUGCUUAACACAUGCAAGUCGAACGGAAAGGCCCGCCACCUUGGUGGUGGGUACUCGAGUGGCGAACGGGUGAGUAACACGUGGGUGAUCUGCCCCGCACUGUGGGAUAAGCCUGGGAAACUGGGUCUAAUACCACAUACGACCAUGGCGUAGGGGUCAUGGUGGAAAGCUUUUGCGGUGUGGGAUGAGCCCGCGGCCUAUCAGCUUGUUGGUGGGGUAAUGGCCUACCAAGGCGGCGACGGGUAGCCGGCCUGAGAGGGUGGACGGCCACAUUGGGACUGAGACACGGCCCAGACUCCUACGGGAGGCAGCAGUGGGGAAUAUUGCACAAUGGGCGCAAGCCUGAUGCAGCGACGCCGCGUGGGGGAUGACGGCCUUCGGGUUGUAAACUCCUUUCGCCCGGGACGAAGCCCACCUGGUGGGUGACG